rnacentral:rRNA from 1 species
AACGAACGCUGGCGGCAUGCCUAACACAUGCAAGUCGAACGAGACCUUCGGGUCUAGUGGCGCACGGGUGCGUAACGCGUGGGAACCUGCCCUUAGGUUCGGAAUAACUCCCCGAAAGGGGUGCUAAUACCGGAUAAUGUCUUCGGACCAAAGAUUUAUGGCCUUUGGAUGGGCCCGCGUUGGAUUAGCUAGUUGGUAGGGUAAAAGCCUACCAAGGCGACGAUCCAUAGCUGGUCUGAGAGGAUGAUCAGCCACACUGGGACUGAGACACGGCCCAGAAUCCUACGGGAGGCAGCAGUGGGGAAUAUUGGACAAUGGGCGAAAGCGUGAUACAGCAAUGCCGCGUGAGUGAUGAAGGCGUUAGGGUUGUAAAGCUCUUUUACACGGGAUGAUAAUGACAGUACCGGGAGAAUAAGCUCCGGCUAACUCCGUG